rnacentral:ncRNA from 1 species
GGAUAGAGGCGCGAUAUUCAAAAGUAGCGCGGAGGACGAAGGUUAUUGCUUCCGCGGGAAAGGGAAUGUCGCCGAAGGGGUGCAUUUCAGCCUUAAAAGUGCGCUGCCUGGGGCGUCGGGAAAUACCCGACGGACUGUCACAUACUUUGUGAAGCGCUAUCA